UACGGGGGGGGCAAGCGUUGUUCGGAAUUACUGGGCGUAAAGGGCUCGUAGGCGGCCAACUAAGUCAUACGUGAAAUCCCUCGGCUUAACCGGGGAACUGCGUCUGAUACUGGAUGGCUUGAGUUCGGGAGAGGGAUGCGGAAUUCCAGGUGUAGCGGUGAAAUGCGUAGAUAUCUGGAGGAACACCGGUGGCGAAGGCGGCAUCCUGGACCGAUACUGACGCUGAGGAGCGAAAGCUAGGGGAGCAAACAGG
rnacentral:rRNA from 1 species